ACGGGGCCCGCUCCUCUCGGUCGUGCCACCGCCGCCGUCCCCCUCCUCGCUCCCGCUCGACUCGCUCCCGCUCGACUCGCUCCCGCUCCACCUUACCGCGCCGACCCCCACGCCGUGGCGGUCGCACCAGACGCUGACGCCGCCGCACUCCUUCCUCUCCCCCGCCACGCAGGCGCUGGUGCUUGCCAUCUCCUCGCACCCGCUCCCCACACUCGCGGCCUUCCUGGCCUCCCGCCGCGACGAGCUCCUCCGCGCAGACAUCACGUCCCUGCUCAAGGCGCUGGAGCUCCCGGGGCACUGGGAGUGGGCGCUCGCGCUCCUCCGGUGGGCUGGCAAGGAGGGUGCCACCGACGCGUCGGCGCUCGAGCUGGUCGUCCGCGCGCUGGGCCGCGAGGGCCAGCACUGCGUGCUGCUCGACGAAAUGCCGCUCCCACCGAGCUCCCGCCUAGACGUCAGCGCCUACACCACCGUGCUGCACGCGCUCGAGCUCUUCGCCGAGCUCCAGCGCCUGGGAUACGAGAUAAAGCGAGAUAAAUCGAAGACCACAUAUCAUCUCUACUUGUGCCUGACCACUGGUAUGUUGUGCCUUUAUUUUCCUUGUAUGAAUAGAUCCUUUACUGUUGGUGAAUUCCUAGGAUGAUUUUGGCAAAUAUCUAUUAGUUUCAAGUAGAUAUUCUGGUCUCUGUUCUGCCUAUGUCUUCCCAUCAUUUCUGCCCAAAAUUCUUUCUAUUUGGAAUGCAAUUGGUCACUCUCCUUUUUUACCCCUUUGGAUCAGCUGUACUUACGGAGAAUGGCGAGUUCCUCUUAUCAGCUAGAAGGAACCGCAAAACAAGCUGCACGAGUAUAUUAUCUCGAUGGAUGCUGACAACAUAUCAAGAUCUACCAACACAUAUUGGAAAGCUGAGGUAAUAGAAUUGAAAUGCAAGUGAAUGGGUUGACUGUCUUGUUUUUGCCUGGUUUGUCUGAUUAUGUCGCCUAAUCGAGAUAUUUGUCGUCAUUUCCAGGUCAAACUUCCUCAGCACAAAAUUUAUGAUCUCUAACAUGCAGCCGCCUUAUAGUGGGGCUGUAGUCCCUCAUGCUGGCCGGACAAAUCGGAGAUUCGACUCCAGGAAGGUCUCCCUAAGCUGAGGCAAGUAAUUGACCUGAAAAGACACUUCAAGCGGGCAGGAAAGUCGACGGCCCUUCCGAAGUACAACGCGCAACGACCAGCUCAUUAAUCUUGAGAAACUUAGUUGAGCUCUUUGACAAAGGUCUAUCAUGACUUUUUAUUGCAUUCGAACUGGAGCUCAACCACUUAUCCUUUUGACGAGCUAACCUUUGGACCAUAGAUGGAAUGUGUUGCUGGUGCUUAUGAGAUUCUUGAUUUAUGUCAUGCGAUCUGACCCAAAAUCUGUUUGGUCCAGCAGCUCCUUGCUUGGAGGUCGAUAAUAUACGCAUGCCGGGAACUGUGGUGUGGACUUGUUGAUUAUAUUUUUAGUUGGGUGAUGAGCACAAUCAAUAUGAGUCAGUUGGUUUGGAUGAGUGCCCUGACCAUCUCAUUAAUCUUGAGAAACUUAGUUGAGCUCUUUAACAAAAUCGCAAUUUUGUUUGAGCAAAUCUCAGUACUUAUACAGUCAUGUUUCAAUUAUGUUGCUUCUUUUUAUUGUCUAAUAGUGUGCCAUAGUAACUGCAUCUAAUAAUUUCUUCUGUAACAAAUGAUUUAUUUACACUUUUGUGCCAUGCCUGCAUAUUUUUAAACAGUAUAAACUGGGAUAAUCUUUAAGCACAACCACCUUUACCUUCAAUUCAUUAAUGGUGUGUUCUCUUUCAUCUGAUUCCUGAUGAGUGUACAUCUUCAUCUUAUCUCCCGAUGUUGCUACAUUAGUUUUUUGUGUGGAUACGGAUAUCUGGUGUCUCUAAUUGGGAGCUAUUGGAUAUCAUCUAAUAAUCUUGCACAGCGAGAUCGAAGCUAUUUAGUAAGCUGUCUAUUUUUUUUCUUAUUUCUCUAUGUUCUUUCGUAUUGUUCUUAACUGUGGUGUGGGCUCAUUGAUUAUAUUCUUAGUUGGGUGAUGAGCAGAAUUAGUUUGAGUCAAUUGGUUUAGAUGAGUGUCAUGACCAUCUCAUUAAUCUUGAGAAACUUACUUGGGCUCUUUGACAAAAUCUCGAUUGCAUACUUUUGUUCUUUUUCAAUUGUUUAUUACUUACUAAAAUCUUUCAUUUAUAGGUAAACUAAAACUGUCGCUGCAAUAAUUCUUCUUGUGAUAGUUGCUCCUUGCCAAUUCAUCGAUCUGAGGGCACAAAGAAGAUAAUCAAUAAGAAGAAAUUGAGCAGUUGUUGUUUCACCUCUCUUAUUCAUAGUUCUUCUAAUGACAUUAGACUUAUAUUUGUCUUCUACAAUGGGAAAAUUGAAAUAAGGUGAGGCAACAAUUUACUUAAAGACUCAAUGUGUUUGUGGAUACUGGAUACUAAAAUGAUGUCAAUGAAACUACAGAU